CGGAUUGUAGCGGGUAUAGUUUAGKGGUAAAAG
rnacentral:tRNA from 1 species